GUCAAUCACAAGUGCUGCUGUGAAGAGAACAAUUGUCAGACUGAAUGUUGAACAUCAGCUAGUUUCUCCUGUUGAUUUAAACCUUGUUGUAGAGAUGGAACAUUGGCUGUGGAUUAUUCUUGCUGCUCUUUUCUUUGAGUGUAAAGGAGAAGACAGAGUAAUGCAGGCAACAGGAGAUGUCAUCGCUACUGAAGGACACACACUCACACUGGACUGUACAUUUGAGACAAGUGACCCAAGUCCCACUUUGUUCUGGUACAAACAGGAAGUUCAGGAUUAUCCAAAGUUUCUGCUGCAACGGUUCACUGUAAAGACGGAUAAUUCUGAAGAGCAACAGAGAAUUGAUGCUACAGCCGACAAGACAUCAGUUCCUCUGAAGAUCUAGAAGCUUCAGCUGUCAGACUCUGCUGUGUACUACUGUGCUCUGCAGCCCACAGUGACAGGAAACACCUAAACUCUGUACAAAAACCUGACAGCUCCUCAUUGAACAUUUACACACUUCAGCUCCUCCUUUACCUGAACAACACCUCCAUCUAGUGGACACUGACAUGUCCAACAGUCCAGAUGUAAAACAGGCUUUGGCACAAUCUACAACUCUUAACAUCUUUCCAGAUGGACUUCUAAGAUGAGAAAUAACUCGUUUUUCAUGUCGUAACCUCUUUGACCCUGCUGUCCUUCCAUCGGGUCCACAAUGUUAUUUUACUGGGUUACUGGUACUGACUUAUAGAACUGUGAAGAAAACAACUCAUGGUGUAGUAAUAGCGUUAGAUUCAGACCAUCUGUCCACUGUUCUCCUCACACCACCACUUACUUCUUGCUAAUAAAUGCACACUAUUUCUCCUCCUUCUUGCAUGUUUCUGGUCCAUUAGACGAUAAAACCUUCUUUGAAUAUAUGUAAUUUAUAUCAGUUUAGACUGUGAUAUAGUAA